rnacentral:misc_RNA from 1 species
UCUCCGUUUGUGAACCAGCGGAGGGAUCAUUACCGAGUUUACAACUCCCAAACCCCUGUGAACAUACCAUUUGUUGCCUCGGCGGUGCCUGCUUCGGCAGCCCGCCAGAGGACCCAAACCCUUGAUUUUAUACAGUAUCUUCUGAGUAAAUGAUUAAAUAAAUCAAAACUUUCAACAACGGAUCUCUUGGUUCUG